rnacentral:lncRNA from 1 species
GCUGAGACAGGUCGAUCAGGGAUGAAAUACCAUCAAGGAAGCUGAGCACUUGAUAAGGGGUUAGUUUUAUUAUGGGUCACUGACCACCCCUGAUAUAGAGUUCUCUUGGCCUGGUUGUAUGACAGGUCUUACAUUGUUCUCCUUCGGCUUCCCUCUCCAGUAGCCUACUUUUCAGACUCAAAUAGAGUGUUUCCAGUGAUGGAAAUAAUACUUCUUGCCCUCUGCCUCUAUCAUUAGGUGAAUCUUAACAUUUUGGUAUUCAUUCUGAAGCCCUUAAGACACCAUUGGGUAUCCUGACAACCAUUGCCAACCCUGGGGUGGCUCAUACCCUUGACCCAUUGCCUGUGAUGCUUCCAUGUCAUUCUGUGAAUAGUUUUUCCUUCGGAACCCUCUUUUGCAUCCAGAAAGUCCUAGUAUAUUCCAUGAAGAGGAAGGAAAGAAGCAGGGUGGGGGAAAAUGGUGACUUAGGCUCUCUAUCCACCAAGACCUUGAAAAUAGAAAGUAGAGACCUUGAAAAUGCCCAAGAUGAGGCAUUUAUGGAACUCUCUUCACUGAUUCUGGGUUUGGGUCUGGUAGGAUUGAACUGUGAAGGUUUUGUAACCUUCCACCAUAGCCUAUUUAAUCAGGAGUUUUCUUUCUUCCCUCAUCUCCACUGACACCUACACAGGUCCCAGCCUGUCCCUAGAAUGGGAAUCAUAAAGCCAAGUUAAGUGUCUUCUGAGGAGACAAAAUCACCUUCUCUGGAAAAAGCUUCCUACAAAAUUGGCCUUAGCAUUUGCCAGGAAUAGAAAGGGAGGGAUUGAGGCCUCAUAAAUCUGGGUUUUCAGUUGAGGAUGAGAAAUAAGAGGGAUUAACUACGGGCUGGGGGAGGAGCUCAGUUGGCAGAGUGCUUGCCUGGAAUGCACAAGGCCCUGGGUUCAAUCCCCAGCAUAAGGGAAAAAAAAAAAAAAAGGACUAACUAGAAAAUUCAUAGUAGUGUGUAGCAAACCCCAGUACUCAUCACUGUUAACUCAGCCUGGGCUUCAUGACAGAGGAUGAUUCCUUAAUAAAAAUAAAUAUCUG